rnacentral:rRNA from 1 species
GUAGGGAAUCUUGCGCAAUGGGCGAAAGCCUGACGCAGCCAUGCCGCGUGAAUGAUGAAGGUCUUAGGAUUGUAAAAUUCUUUCACCGGGGACGAUAAUGACGGUACCCGGAGAAGAAGCCCCGGCUAACUUCGUGCCAGCAGCCGCGGUAAUACGUAGGGGGCGAGCGUUGUCCGGAAUUACUGGGCGUAAAGGGUGCGUAGGUGGCCUUUUAAGUUGGAUGUGAAAUACCCGGGCUUAACUUGGGGGGUGCAUCUAAUACUGGGAGGCUAGAGUGCAGGAGAGGGAAGCGGAAUUCCUAGUGUAGCGGUGAAAUGCGUAGAUAUUAGGAGGAACACCAGUGGCGAAGGCGGCUUUCUGGACUGUAACUGACACUGAGGCACGAAAGCGUGGGGAGCAAACAGGAUUAGAAACCCCGGUAGUCC